CCGAGGUGAACCUGCGGAAGGAUCAUUAUUGAAAUAAACCUGAUGGGUUGUUGCUGGUUCUCUAGGGAGCAUGUGCACGCCUUGUCAUCUUUAUAUCUCCACCUGUGCACCUUUUGUAGGCCUUCCAGGUCUAUGUUGCUUUUUCAUUUACCCCCAAUGUAUGUUAAUAGAAUGUUGUGCAUAUAAAAAAUCUAUACAACUUUCAGCAACGGAUCUCUUGGCUCUCGCAUCGAUGAAGAACGCAGCGAAAUGCGAUAAGUAAUGUGAAUUGCAGAAUUCAGUGAAUCAUCGAAUCUUUGAACGCACCUUGCGCUCCUUGGUAUUCCGAGGAGCAUGCCUGUUUGAGUGUCAUUAAUAUAUAUCAAUCUUCUCAUUUAUGAGUGGUUUGGAUGUGGGGGUUUGCUGGCCUCUUAAAUGAGUUCAGCUCCUCUGAAAUGCAUUAGCAGAACAACCUUGUUCAUUGGCGUGAUAACUAUCUACGCUAUUGAAUGUGAGGGAUGGUUCAGCUUUCUAACAGUCCUUGGACAACUUAUCAUUUAUGUGACCUCAAAUCAGGUAGGACUACCCG
rnacentral:rRNA from 1 species